GCCUAUGGCCAAAACACUCUGAAAACAUUUGAUCUUGUCUAAUCUCUGAAGCAAUGAAGGGAUGGCCCCAGAUAGUAUGUGAAUGGCGGACUAGGGAAUUCUGCUUGGGAAUGUCAGGUGCUCUAUGUG
rnacentral:rRNA from 1 species